rnacentral:rRNA from 1 species
UACGUAGGGGGCAAGCGUUGUCCGGAAUUAUUGGGCGUAAAGAGCUCGUAGGCGGUCUGUUGCGUCGGCUGUGAAAACCCGAGGCUCAACCUCGGGCCUGCAGCCGAUACGGGCAGACUAGAGUUCGGCAGGGGAGACUGGAAUUCCUGGUGUAGCGGUGAAAUGCGCAGAUAUCGGGAGGAACACCAGUAGCGAAGGCGGCUCGCUGGGCCAUUCCUGACGCUGAGACGCGAAAGCUAGGGGAGCGAACAGG